rnacentral:rRNA from 1 species
UGAGGAAUAUUGGUCAAUGGGCGAGAGCCUGAACCAGCCAAGUAGCGUGCAGGAUGACGGCCCUAUGGGUUGUAAACUGCUUUUAUAUGGGAAUAAAGUGAGGGACGUGUCCCUUAUUGCAUGUACCAUACGAAUAAGGACCGGCUAAUUCCGUGCCAGCAGCCGCGGUAAUACGGAAGGUCCAGGCGUUAUCCGGAUUUAUUGGGUUUAAAGGGAGCGUAGGCUGUUUGUUAAGCGUGUUGUGAAAUGUAAGAGCUCAACUUUUAGAUUGCAGCGCGAACUGGCAGACUUGAGUGCGCACAACGUAGGCGGAAUUCAUGGUGUAGCGGUGAAAUGCGCAGAUAUUAGGAGGAAUACCGGUGGCGAAGGCGACUUUCUGGCCAUAUACUGACGCUGAGGUACGAAAGCGUGGGUAGCAAACAGG